rnacentral:snRNA from 1 species
UCUGGUUUCUCUUCAGAUUGUAUAAAUCUUUCGCCUUUUACUAAGGAUUUCUGUGGAGAGGAACAAUUCUGA